rnacentral:rRNA from 1 species
CAGCCGCCACGGUAAUACGGAGGGUGCAAGCGUUAUCCGGAUUUAUUGGGUUUAAAGGGUCCGUAGGCGGAUCUGUAAGUCAGUUGUGAAAUCUCACAGCUUAACUGUGAAACUGCCAUUGAUACUGCAGGUCUUGAGUAAAUUUGAAGUGGCUGGAAUAAGUAGUGUAGCGGUGAAAUUCAUAGAUAUUACUUAGAACACCAAUUGCGAAGGCAGGUCACUAAGAUUUAACUGACGCUGAUGGACGAAAGCGUGGGGAGCGAACAGGAUUAGAUACCCCCGUAGUCCCUGUCUCUUAUAC